rnacentral:rRNA from 1 species
CUACGGGAGGCACCAGUGGGGAAUAUUGCACAAUGGGCGCAAGCCUGAUGCAGCCAUGCCGCGUGUAUGAAGAAGGCCUUCGGGUUGUAAAGUACUUUCAGCGGGGAGGAAGGGAGUAAAGUUAAUACCUUUGCUAACUGACGUUACCCGCAGAAGAAGCACCGGCUAACUCCGUGCCAGCAGCCGCGGUAAUACGGAGGGUGCAAGCGUUAAUCGGAAUUACUGGGCGUAAAGCGCACGCAGGCGGUUUGUUAAGUCAGAUGUGAAAUCCCCGGGCUCAACCUGGGAACUGCAUCUGAUACUGGCAAGCUUGAGUCUCGUAGAGGGGGGUAGAAUUCCAGGUGUAGCGGUGAAAUGCGUAGAGAUCUGGAGGAAUACCGGUGGCGAAGGCGGCCCCCUGGACGAAGACUGACGCUCAGGUGCGAAAGCGUGGGGAGCAAACAGGAUUAGAUACCCCCGUAGUC